rnacentral:rRNA from 1 species
GACGAACGCUGGCGGCGUGCUUAACACAUGCAAGUCGAACGGACAGGCCCUUCGGUUUCCUCGAGUAUGUUAGGGGUGGGUGACACAGUGAUGAGCUGCCCUGCACUUUGGAAUAAUGCUGUGAAACUGGGUCUCAUACGCAAUAGGCGCACGAUCUUCUUAACGGGUGGGGGAAAGCGUUUGCGGUGUUGGUUGGGCCCGCGGGCGAUGAGCUUGUGGUUGGUGUAAUGGUCUACAAAGUCAAGGACGGGUAGGCGGCCUGAGAGGGUGACCGGCCACACUGGGACUAAGGUACGGCGCAGACUCGUACGGGAGGCAGCAGUGGGGAAUAUUGCACAAUGGGCGCAAGCCUGAUGCAGCGACGCCGGGUGCGGGAUGACGGCCUUCGGGUUGUAAACAUCUUUCAAUGGGGACGAAGAGAAAGUGACGGUACCUAUAGAAGAAGCACCGGCUAACUACGUG